rnacentral:rRNA from 1 species
UACAGAGGGUGCAAGCGUUAAUCGGAAUUACUGGGCGUAAAGGGCGCGUAGGCGGCCCGCUAAGUCGAACGUGAAAUCCCCAGGCUCAACCUGGGAACUGCGUCCGAGACUGGCAGGCUCGAAUCCGGGAGAGGGAUGUGGAAUUCCAGGUGUAGCGGUGAAAUGCGUAGAUAUCUGGAGGAACACCGGUGGCGAAGGCGGCAUCCUGGACCGGUAUUGACGCUGAGGCGCGAAAAGCCAGGGGAGCAAAGCGGG